rnacentral:rRNA from 1 species
UCCGGUUGAUCCUGCCGGUCCCGACCGCUAUCGGGGUGGGGCUAAGCCAUGGGAGUCGUACGCCCCGCCGCUGCGGGGCGUGGCGGACGGCUGAGUAACACGUGGCUAACCUACCCUCGGGAGGGGGAUAACACCGGGAAACUGGUGCUAAUCCCCCAUAGAGGAGGGGGCCUGGAAGGGUCCCUCCUCGAAAAGGUGUGGCGGGGGUUAACGCUGCCGCACCGCCCGAGGAUGGGGCUACGGCCCAUUAGGUAGUUGGCGGGGUAACGGCCCGCCAAGCCGAUAAUGGGUAGGGGCCGUGAGAGCGGGAGCCCCCAGAUGGGCACUGAGACAAGGGCCCAGGCCCUACGGGGCGCACCAGGCGCGAAACCUCCGCAAUGCGGGAAACCGUGACGGGGCCACCCCGAGUGCCCCCUUACGGGGGCUUUUCCCCGCUGUAGGAAGGCGGGGGAAUAAGCGGGGGGCAAGUCUGGUGUCAGCCGCCGCGGUAAUACCAGCCCCGCGAGUGGUCGGGACGAUUAUUGGGCCUAAAGCGCCCGUAGCCGGCUCGACAAGUCUCCUCCUAAAUCCUCGGGCUCAACCCGAGGAUUGGAGGAGAUACUGUCGAGCUAGGGGGUGGGAGAGGCCGAGGGUACUCCCGGGGUAGGGGCGAAAUCCUAUAAUCCCGGGAGGACCACCAGUGGCGAAGGCGCUCGGCUGGAACACGCCCGACGGUGAGGGGCGAAAGCCGGGGGAGCGAACCGGAUUAGAUACCCGGGUAGUCCCGGCUGUAAACGAUGCGGGCUAGGUGUUGGGUGGGCCUAGAGCCCACCCAGUGCCGCAGGGAAGCCGUUAAGCCCGCCGCCUGGGGAGUACGGCCGCAAGGCUGAAACUCAAAGGAAUUGGCGGGGGAGCACCACAAGGGGUGGAGCCUGCGGUUCAAUUGGAGUCAACGCCGGA